rnacentral:rRNA from 1 species
AAACCAACUGGGAUUACCUUAGUAACGGCGAGUGAAGCGGUAAAAGCUCAAAUUUGAAAUCUGGUACUUCAGUGCCCGAGUUGUAAUUUGUAGAAUUUGUCUUUGAUUAGGUCCUUGUCUAUGUUCCUUGGAACAGGACGUCAUAGAGGGUGAGAAUCCCGUUUGGCGAGGAUACCUUUUCUCUGUAAGACUUUUUCGAAGAGUCGAGUUGUUUGGGAAUGCAGCUCAAAGUGGGUGGUAAAUUCCAUCUAAAGCUAAAUAUUGGCGAGAGACCGAUAGCGAACAAGUACAGUGAUGGAAAGAUGAAAAGAACUUUGAAAAGAGAGUGAAAAAGUACGUGAAAUUGUUGAAAGGGAAGGGCAUUUGAUCAGACAUGGUGUUUUUUGCAUGCACUCGCCUCUCGUGGGCUUGGGCCUCUCAAAAAUUUCACUGGGCCAACAUCAAUUCUGGCAGCAGGAUAAAUCAUUAAGAAUGUAGCUACUUCGGUAGUGUUAUAGCUUUUUGGAAUACUGUUAGCCGGGAUU